UCGAACGCGAAAGCUCCCUUCGGGGAAGCAAGUAGAGUGGCGCACGGGUGAGUAACACGUAGGUAAUCUACCUUUGGAUUGGGAAUAACCACCGGAAACGGUGGCUAAUACCGAAUAAUGCAGCGGCACCUAAUGGUGACAGUUGUUAAAGCGGGGGAUCGCAAGACCUCGCGUCUGAAGAGGAGCCUGCGGCAGAUUAGCUAGUUGGUAAGGUAACGGCUUACCAAGGCGAUGAUCUGUAGCCGGCCUGAGAGGGCGGUCGGCCACACUGACACUGACAUACGGGUCAGACUCCUACGGGAGGCAGCAGUCGGGAAUUUUGGGCAAUGGGCGAAAGCCUGACCCAGCAACGCCGCGUGAAGGAUGAAAUCCUUCGGGAUGUAAACUUCGCAAGAACGGGAAGAAUAAGUAAGGGUUAAUAUCUCUUACGAUGACGGUACUGUUUGUAAGCUCCGGCUAACUCCGUGCCAGCAGCCGCGGUAAUACGGGGGGAGCAAGCGUUGUUCGGAUUUACUGGGCGUAAAGGGCGCGUAGGCGGCCACCGCAAGUCGACUGUGAAAUCUCCGGGCUUAACCCGGAAAGGUCAGCCGAUACUGCGGGGCUAGAGUGCAGAAGGGGCAACUGGAAUUCUCGGUGUAGCGGUGAAAUGCGUAGAUAUCGAGAGGAACACCUGCGGCGAAGGCGGGUUGCUGGGCUGACACUGA
rnacentral:rRNA from 1 species